AACCCCCAUCCUCUCGAGCAUCCUCCAUCUGUGGCUCUUCCAAGCUCCGCCGGAGACGACCGUGAGAACCAUCAGAGACGGAGACGACCGUGAGAACCCCCAUCCUCUCGAGCAUCCUCCAUCUGUGGCUCUUCCAAGCUCCGCCGGAGACAACCGUGAGAACCAUCAGAGACGGAGACGGUUCCUCUAAGCUCCAUGGGUAUCUCUCUAUUUCAAUGUUUCAAAACCUGUAUUUGACUUGUUUGGGUUCUUCUGGUACAUGCACCAAACAACACAUUAACUGCAAGACAGUGUACUCAUUAUGAAUUCCGGGCAAAAGGAUUUUCUAUAAUAAAAGACUUUGGAUUUUGAUUGAUUUAUUGAGUGUCCUAUAGAAUGUCGAUCAACAAGACUUGGAUUAAUAAUUCAAAUAAAUUUUCUGAUGAGUAUGUUGCUGGAGCGUUUGCAUUUGUUGAGAGAGCUCAACAAUUUGUGGAUACAAGGGGACUAGUGAAGUGUCCUUGUAACAAGUG